rnacentral:rRNA from 1 species
GCGCUCGUGGUGUACGUAGCAGUGGGAAGGCGUAGGCACCAGGCGUAGUUCGGAGUUAGCGGGCGUAAAGAGCUAGUAGGCGGCGUGAAGAGCCACUUGUGAAAGCUCGGGGCCGAACGCAGAACGGUGAAGUGAGACGGUUGGGCUAGAGUGCAGAAGGGUCAAUCGGAAUUCUUGGUGUAGGGGUGAAAUGCGUAGAUAUCAAGAGGAACACCUGAGGUGAAGACGGGUUGCUGGGCUGACACUGACGCUGAUGCGCGAAAGCCAGGGGAGCAAACGGGAUUAGAUACCCCGGUAGUC